GACAGAGAGGCCAGAGCCGCUGACAGCUUCAGCGCACUCGGGACGAGGAAGGAGUCGAGAAGCCCCCCCCUCCUUACAGUUGCCAUCUUAAAGCGCGCCGUACUUUCUCAGCUGUACGUCACUCACCGUUUUCGGCUCGUGCUGGAUUUUGCUCUCGCCUCAGAACGAGACUCGACUGAGCGGCGCCUCAGACUGCCCGGGAAAAGUUGGAGACUUUCUGACAAAAAAAUACAGUGAAGAAGACAAAGAACAUGGCGAGGGUCAGACGAACAGUCAACGGCAUCUUUUUCGCCACUCCAGACAACCAGACAAGUCCUGGGCUCGGUGUGGUAACGACGCCGUGUCCUCUACAGACAGACUGCGGAGGAAACGGCUGUAGCGGCGACUGAGGGAAAGUUAGCUAGCAUAAAGUUCAGACCGCGAUGUGCCGAUGUGCUGCCCUGCUCCGGCGACCUGUGAUAUAUUUCUUCUGCAAGCAAAUGGCAGCAAGAGGAACUGGAGGGAGGUUUGUACUAUGAACAGAAGAGAGGAAAGCAUGGUGGCAUAAGAUCUGAAGCAAGAAUUGAGCAUGAUUGGAGUGGAGAGGAGAGAUUUCUGUUUCUUGAAGAUGAAAGUACCGUUUACUGAUGGUGACAGGUUUGAUGGUCUACCAAGUCCUGCACAGUUAUUAGGAGUCCAAGUUCCUCUGUAACUUUUCAUUCAUUCACAACUUCCAGUUGUGUAAACUCCUGUUCUUUCACUUACUUUCGUUUGGGUUUACUUUUACAAUGUAAGUGGAUUAGUUUAUAUCUAAUCUCAGAAAUAUUUCCUGAAAAAUUAUCAUGUCUGUUUUGACUGGAACUUAAACCAGUAAAAGGUAGUCUCUGACUUUUACAUGGUAUUGCAUUAUAUAUGAAAAUAUGAAUAUUCUUUUCUCUAGAAUAUUCUAUACAAGAAUAAAAAAGUCUUAAAUAUUAGAUGUCCCAUUCAAAUAUACUUGCCAUGUGUUUCCUGGAGCGAUUACCAAAAUCAGCCUUCAAUCCAGCACAUAAACACAUUAAUCACUCUCUAAUUCCUCCCUUGAGCUUGGUAAAUGCCUUAGCCUAAAUGCCUCCUCCACCACUGAAAAACAAACAGCACCUUUUCCCUUAUCAAGCAGCAGGGGUGCCAGAACACUUGAGAGUGCGAUGGAAAUUAAGCUCCCUUUUUCUAUCUUCUCCAAACACACACACUCUCCCUCUCUGGAAAAUUCCUCUCUUGCCCUGUGACUGCCACACCAUAACAGUCUGCUAAAAGACAGCUUGAGUGGUUGAAUGGCUUCUCUCAGAACAGAGGUUGAGUGUGUCAGAGAGAAACACAUGAAAGAACCUGUGAAAAGAGAGAUCACUUCCAUCUCUUCUGGGAAGAUGGGAAUAAUUGUCAGUGGAGUUUCUUAUGAAUGACAGGCCCUGUGGACUCCCUGCACCUGCACAGGCCUUCUGUUGCUGCUUUCAGUCAGCCUGCAAGUUCCAGUCAGUGGGCCAGUGUGUAAUGCUCUAUUCAAACAGACAGCAGAGCUGGACAUAAGUGUUUCAAAGCCUGCUGCACUGCAGGAAAAGUGGAUGCACAGAACUUAGAGCUCAGGCUGACUUCAACACUCUUUCUUCUGUCAGAAUGAAGAAUGCACAAAUAUGCAGUAUGUGUGUCUGAACACGGUGAUCGGGAAGAUUUCAUAUAAUCUACAAAAAUGGGGAAAGGCACAGAUAGAGCUCAGGCUUCAAAAAAGCUGCUGUGCUGUGCUCCAAUACUUACUUUUAUUUAAAACAAAUGAACAUAUGUUACAAAGUGAAAUCAUACCAGCUAGUCUAUUUGAGAUCACAUUGACGUUUUUUGUGAAAAGUGCAUGAUAUUCAAAGAGGAAUUCCUAUUUAGUUCCAAAACUAAUGCAUAAUUCAGUGGUUGAGAUGUAAACGAAGUCAUUCAGAGUGGUUUGAUGUGAAAUGGUUCAUUUAAGAGAAACUUACCAGCUCAGCUUUCUUUACAGUGGUGGUGAUAAGAAUCAGGGGAGCUGAUGUGAAUUUCAUGUCAGAACAUUCAUAAAAACUUUGAUCCCUUAAAAUCCCAGGCCUAUUACAUACUAAGACUUAUUACUACUAACUACAAGUGACUUCAAAGCAAACUGUCUGGGCUAUUCUUAGGUUAUAGAAGGGUGUAACUUUUGGCCCGCCAGCAGGCCCAUGGUCAUCUUAGGGGUUAAACCAUAACCAGUCAUAAUUGCCCUUUGAAGCAUACAGUUUGUGUGAUGAUAAACUAAUUGCUAAAGCAUUCAUUAAUUGUCAGCUACAUUAGCAUUAUAGUUCCAGUGCAAAACUAAAGCAAACAAAAGAUGUCUUGGAUGUUCAACUACAUUUGGGGUAUUUUGAUUUUUUGCUGAACUAUUACUUCAAUCAUUGAUUUAAAACUGUUUGUCAUGUUCGUGUGUGCUGCCUUCUGUCCUGCCACAUCUGCUUCAAUAUAAUCAGAUACUGCACAUUUUUGUGUAGUAGAGUA